AAAGCACAACUCAAGUGCGUCUCAGCAUCCUCCCUUGAAUCCGUACUACUCUGUUAACAGAAAUCCUUGUGAAGACAGGCUAGCUCUGAGCAAGGUGCAGCUCAGUAACAGUAGAGCCAAACUUACCUAUUCGAAUAUAAAGUAUUUUUAUUCUGAGCUGCAUCAUCCUUAGGGAAAUAGUAAAAGUGCCUUUUCUAGCAAUUAACUGGAAAACAGGUGUCUGUAACUUCACUUAUCUUCCUUAGUGGAAAGGAAGAGGAGAAUCAAGAAGAGGAAAGAUGAAAUAUGUAUAAAGAAAAAAAAGAAGGAAAAGAAUUUUCUACAGAAUAUACAGUGCUGUCUUGUCCCUUCUGGAUCACGGCUAUAUUUGCAGUGUGCAGCGGAGGAAAACCAGCCUAAGAAGAACCAGCAGCAGGGCUCUGAAGCCAGAAUGCGCAGUGUGGGCUAUUUCCUGCACAUGUCCCAGCAGAGUACUGUUGGGAAUGCACGCACAGCUAACCAGUCCCACUGCUCAUUGAAUUUAUUUAUGUAUGUAUGUAUUUAUUUAUUUAUUUUUCCUGGUCUUUCCCACUGAAGUGAGCUGUGGAAGCUACAACUUGGCACAGUUUGGUGGGACUUGACCACUGCUGUCUGAUAGGACAUUGUGUUAUCAAAACCAGCAAUCUGCUUUUGGAGAAAAUAAUUCUGUAGUUGGAGAAAUGAUUUAUUUCUAUUGUAGGAAGUUUAUUUGCAUAGUGUAGAAAACAACAAGAUUUAUUUGUUGAGUUAGAAUCCCUUAGGUACAGUAUAAAUAUAAUUACAAGAACAUAUAAAUACAUCUAUACAAUGCUAUUGGGCCUUUGGCACACAAAUCUUAUUUCCCUGACUGUGAAAGAGAAUGUUUUGAAAGAGAAAUAAAUCAUUAAUUUCUACUGUUGACGUAAGAGUA
rnacentral:lncRNA from 1 species